rnacentral:rRNA from 1 species
UGUAAGCGUAUACCAAAGUUUUUGCAGUUAAAACACUCGUAGUCGGAAUUUGGCAGUUCCGGAUGUGUGCACGUCGUGUGCGCACUUCGCGGGGAUUGCUUUUGUGGUCUUGCGUAGGAUGAGGCACUUUUAUUAGUGAACGUCCUCACGCAACCACUUUUUACUGUGAGAAAAUCAGAGUGCUCAAAGCAGGCAUUUGCCGUGAAUGUAUUAGCAUGGAAUAAUAGAAUAGGACUUGGUUCUAUUUUGUUGGUUUGUUGGGACUGAGUAAUGAUUAAGAGGGACAGUUGGGGGCAUUUGUAUUUCGGUGCUAGAGGUGAAAUUCUUAGAUUACCGAAAGACAAACUGCUGCGAAAGCGUCUGCCAAGGAUGUUUUCAUUGA